UAUUGCCAUCUGCCUGUGCUGACUCUGGGUUCUGCCUGUGGUCUGGGCUUCCCUAACUUCAUCACACCCAUUGGAUUGGGCCUCAUCAGGUCAUGAUGUCUCCUAAACCUGGCCUGAAAGUGCUGCUCCAUUUUAGACAUUAUAUGGGCCAGCUCUGUAGUGAGGUCAGUUUCUUUGCUCUCUGACUCCCUCCCUGUCUACACUGGCUGAAUUUCUAAAAUCCAGGAUGGCUAUGACUAGCAUCUGCCUGAGGAAUAGCAAAAGGGAACUGGGGUCAAAUGACACUCGGGAGGAAAUUGUGAAGUGACUACAUGCUAUUCUUAAGGCAAGAGAAGGUGCGGUACAGAAACUUCACACUAGAAACUUCUUUAUCUUGAUUGGGAAUAGAACAUGCAUUGAAACAGCAGUGAAAAGGAAGGUGGCAGGCUGGAUUUGGCCCACAAGCUCCAGUGUGCAAACUCCUGCAUUAUCACAUUGACCCUCAUGAUACUGGGAAGUAGGUACUUGUAUUAUUCUCCAUUUCACAGGUAAGGAAACUGAGUCUUGGAGGGAUUGAGCAGCUUGCGUGAGAUCCAACAGUAUGUGUCAGGCCCAGGAGUCCAGCUCAGGAUCUCCUAAGCUAUCAUGGCUAGGUAAACCCUUCUGCCCCGAGAUGGGUCUCCUCAUUGAAACCAUCCCUAUAAACUUUAUGAAAGUAAUCAGGGAGGAAGGGAGGGGAAGAAAUAAAAAUAAACCAAGCUUGCAGCACACACAGCCUUAAUCAUGAGGUCAGCAUGCUCUCUGAUCUGCUUCCUUGGAGUUAUUUGGUGCCAACUGUAAAAGUUAAAGACCAAAAUCUGACCAAAAUCAGCCAGAAGCCCCUCUCAGGUUUAUUUCUCUUGUUUCUUUAACUCUUACACCAAUUUUCCUAGGAUCAUGUAGAUCUUUGUAUUAGGCCGUUCUUGCAUUGCUGUAAAGAAAUACCUGAGACUGGGUAACUUAUAAAGAAAAGAGGUUUAAUUGGCUCACAGUUCUACAGGUUUUAUAGGAA
rnacentral:lncRNA from 10 species